GUUGCCCUUAAGAAGCUGGCCCUGUGGCAGCUGAAGGAUGGCAUCCCCAGCUAGGCCCUGCACAAGAUCAAGGGUCUGCAGGAGAUUGAGGACAGUACAUCUGACCUGAAAUCUGCCAGCCUGCUCAUCAGCACCUCAGUCCAGCUCAAGAUAGUGGAGUUUUCCCCAGAUGGCAGCCACCUCUACAUAUACCAGGUGGCCACCAGGUCUGGAAUGAGGUUUCAAAAACCAAGGAACUAUGGAGGUGAGUGAAGGAAGAGCCAGCUAGAGGCGGUCCUACAAAGGAGAGCAUCCCAUGAAGGAGAGAUGGGUGCAGUGGAUGUCUUUUGAGCACUCUGCAUUUCUGCUGGCUCCAUUGAGUAUGUAAGAAAAGAUUAUCCACAGCCACUACCAGGAGGAAACUUUUCUCUGGUUAGGGAUGCAAAAUAACUUUUCUCCUAAAUAUUGAAAUACAGAAUUUUUUCCCCCCAGUUCAGCACUUGGUGUGCACUGAAGUUUUUUUGUUGUUG